UUGUCGGAAAAUUCAGGAGAA
rnacentral:snRNA from 1 species